UGUGUCUAAAAAUUAAAAAAAUUGUUUAAAAUAUUAAAAAAAUUAGUGAAAACAAAAAAAAAUACAAAAAAUGAAAAAAUAUAAUUUUUUAAAAAAUAAAUUCUGAAAAUUGGAAACAAACAGAGUGUGGAAUUGGUAAAUAGGAUACAACAACAUCUAAACAAUGAACAUAAAAUUCAUGAAGCCCAUCAAAAAAAGGUUUCAUGGUCCAGAUCAUGGGCCUGUGCCCAAAAGGCAGGGCCACAUGGCUACAUUAUCUUUAUUUAUUUUUCUUUCUUCAAUUGGCCAUUUUGUUAUUUGGCAAACAUUAGCACUGCAAAAUGAAUUAAAUUAUUUAAUUUUAAUUUAUAUUUUAUUGGUUAAAAAUUUAUUAGAGAUGUUAUAUAAAUAAGUCAAAUUUAAAUAUAUUUUAAAAUUAUUUAUAUUUUCUAAUCAAGUUCGAACAACCAUUUACUUUCCUGAUAACUUUAUGGGUAAAUUAUAGUUUUAACUUCUAUAGUUUAAUUUAAAUUUUACUUUGAUCUCUAUUAUUUUAAAUUAAACAAUUUAGUCACUACACUCUAAGUAUUUUUUUCAAAAUUUUCAUUAUGUUCAAGUUGAAAGUUAAAAUUAAUGAUUUUUGGGAUACUUAUCAGCCUUCUAAAAUUUACACGUAGAAAAAAUAAUAUAAAAUUUGAACAAAAUGACCAAAUCAAAAAUAAAUUUAAAAUAUAUAGAUUAAAUUAUUCAAACUAAAAUAAUAAAAUAAAAAUAAAAUUUAAAUCAAACACUGAUAAAAAAUAUAAUUUACCCUAAACUUAUAUAUGUACCAAAAGAAAAAGAUAGUCAAACUUUGCAAUCAAACUAUUCAAACUUUACUUCAUUAAAAUUUGUUUGAGAUAAGUGAAAUUUAAAAUUAAUUUAAAACUCAUUAAAAAUUUUAAAUCAAGUUUGCAUACAGUUCUAAUGAACACACGAUCAUUAGUGUUCCGGAAUCAUGAGAUAAUUCCUCCCAAAACCCUAGCCACUUUGCGUACAGUUCAAAAAACCCUAGACACUUCUAGGUCAAUCUUUUCUAAUCAUUGGCCUUUCUUUCUAAGUUAGUCCCUCAAUUAAGGGGCAUUGACCCACGUACACUUUCCACAGUUAAAAUUCCUCUAAUUUCAAAAUAAAAUGCUUAUAUUAAUUAGGUUUAUAUAUUUUUAAUUAUUACUAAAAAAAUUUAUUUUUUAUUUAUUUAUUUUUAAAUUUAACAACGUUGCACAUUUUAACAUCAUCGGAUUUUCGUCAAACUUCUUUUAGACAGCUACCGGAGGUUCACUUGAAUGUUCAACAUUAUCAGAAAAUCAUUCGAGUAUUGCCAAAAAUUUGUCAAAGUAUCGUCGGAGUCUUCUGAAUUUCAUUGAAGAUUGCUAAAAUGCCUAGAACGUCACUGGACGUUAAGAAUAUUGCCACAGACUCACCAAAAUGUUUAGAACAUUAUUGAAAAAAGGAAAAAGAAUAAAGAGCGAAUUAUACUAAUGGCUUCUGUAAUUUGGGACUUGUGUCACUUUAGUCCUUAAUGUUUCAAUUGUGAUACAUUAGACCUUCAAUUUUGAAUCUCAUUCCAAAAAAGAACAGUUGAAGACACUAUUGUUCUAUUUCAAGGCAAAAUUGUCAAUUUGAUAAAAUAUAAAUUAGUUUGACAAAAAUAAAUGUCAAAAAAUUAUUUCUAAGGUAAAGCACCAUUAAAUCCUGAUUUUGGAAAUAUUAAACCAUUUAGUCUUGUAUCUUUUUUUGAAGACAAAUAGAUCCCAUAUCAAUGUUAAAGACUUUGGAGCUCAAGGCAUUUUGAGGUGAAUAUGGACGGUUGUUUCUGGGUUGUGGAUUGUGAUUCUGACGUUGCAGCAAUUCUGGCCACGUGAUUCCUGUGAUUUUGUUGUUGUUGGUUUGGUAAUCUUGAUGUAAAUUAGAAAUUUCACAUUUGUUUGCCGCCGAAAACCCUAGGUAGCUCAAACCCUCGUUCGUAGAAAUACGUUGCAACGUCGUCAAGUUGGGUCUCAUCACCGUUUCGUCCAUCAAUUGGCGUUGAAUCAGACAUCAAGACAUUGUCGGCGCCGGCGAUCGUCGUGGGAACACAUGGCAGCAGGUAUGUAUUGUUUGUUUUUGUGAUUGUGAUUUCUCAUUAGGGAUUGUUGAAAUGGAGUUGUUAUGUUGUAACCCAUCGUCGAUUGUUGAUAUUGUGUACGAUAAUACGUUGAGAUGAUGUUGUGUACCGUGUUAUAUCUUGGUGUGCUAAUGGCAGGACUUUUAUUUUGGGUUUAA